UACGGAGGGGGCAAGCGUUGUUCGGAAUUACUGGGCGUAAAGGGCGCGCAGGCGGCUGCUCAAGUCAGACGUGAAAGGCCUGGGCUCAACCCGGGAAUUGCGCUUGAGACUGGGCUGGCUUGAGUGCGGGAGAGGAUGGUGGAAUUCCCAGUGUAGAGGUGAAAUUCGUAGAUAUUGGGAAGAACACCGGUGGCGAAGGCGGCCAUCUGGACCGCAACUGACGCUGAGGCGCGAAAGCGUGGGGAGCAAACAGG
rnacentral:rRNA from 1 species